rnacentral:rRNA from 1 species
CCUAUGGGGGGCAGCAGUGGGGAAUAUUGCACAAUGGGGGAAACCCUGAUGCAGCGACGCCGCGUGCGUGAGGAAGGAUUUCGGUAUGUAAAGCUCUACCAGCAGGGAAGUAAAUGACGGUACCUGACUAAGAAGCCCCGUCUAACUACGUGCCAGGAGCCGCGGUAAUACGUAGGGGGCAAGCGUUAUCCGGAUUUACUGGGGGUAAAGGGAGCGUAUACGGUUAAUCAAGUCAGAAGUGAAAACCCAGGGCUCAACCUUGGGACUGCUUUUGAAACUGAGUAGCUAGAGUUCAGGAGAGGUAAGCGGAAUUGCGAGGGUAGCGGUGAAA